rnacentral:rRNA from 1 species
UACGCCGGGGGCAAGCGCGGUUCGGAUUUACUGGGCGUAAAGGGCGCGUAGGCGGCGCGUAAAGUCGGACAUGAAAGCACUGGGCUUAACCCGAUGGCUGUGCCCGAUACUUGCGUGCUUAGAGUGCGGGAGAGGCAAUCGGAAUUCUCGGUGUAGCGGUGAAAUGCGUAGAUAUCGAGAGGAACUCCGGUGACGAAGGUGGGUUGCUGGACCGACACUGACGCUGAGGCGCGAAAGCUCGGGGAGCAAACGGG